rnacentral:rRNA from 1 species
AAUCAACGCUGGCGGCGUGCUUCAGACAUGCAAGUCGAACGAUUAAAGCUCUCUUCGGAGAGUGCAUAGAGUGGCGCACGGGUGAGUAACACGUAAGUAAUCUACCUUCGAGUGGGGAAUAACGUCCGGAAACGGACGCUAAUACCGCAUAAUGCAGCGGCAUCGCAAGAUGACAGUUGUUAAAGGAGCAAUCCGCUUGAAGAGGAGCUUGCGGCAGAUUAGCUUGUUGGUAAGGUAACGGCUUACCAAGGCUACGAUCUGUAUCCGGUCUAAGAGGACGGUCGGACACACUGA